rnacentral:rRNA from 1 species
AAUCAACGCUGGCGGCGUGCUUAACACAUGCAAGUCGAGCGGUAAGGCCCUUUCGGGGGUACACGAGCGGCGAACGGGUGAGUAACACGUGGGUGACCUGCCCUCAGCUCUGGGAUAAGCCUGGGAAACCGGGUCUAAUACUGGAUAUGACUCCAUGACGCAUGUUGUGGGGUGGAAAGCCUUGUGCGGCUGAGGAUGGGCCCGCGGCCUAUCAGCUUGUUGGNGGGUGAUGGCCUACCAAGGCGACGACGGUAGCCGGCCUGAGAGGGCGACCGGCCACACUGGGACUGAGACACGGCCCAGACUCCUACGGGAGGCAGCAGUGGGGAAUCUUGCGCAAUGGGCGAAAGCCUGACGCAGCGACGCCGCGUGAGGGAUGACGG